rnacentral:rRNA from 1 species
ACACAUGCAAGUCGAACGGUAACUUUUGGUGCUUGCACCGAAAGACGAGUGGCGAACGGGUGCGUAACGCGUAUGCAAUCUGCCUUUUACUAGGGUAUAGCCCAGAGAAAUUUGGAUUAAUCCCCUAUAAUAUCAUUUAAUCGCAUGAUUUUAUGAUUAAAGCUUCGGCGGUAAAAGAUGAGCAUGCGUCCUAUUAGUUAGUAGGUGAGGUAACGGCUCACCUAGACUCCGAUAGGUAGGGGUCCUGAGAGGGAGAUCCCCCACACUGGUACUGAGACACGGACCAGACUCCUACGGGAGGCAGCAGUGAGGAAUAUUGGACAAUGGACGAAAGUCUGAUCCAGCUAUGCCGCGUGCAGGAUGACGGCCCUAUGGGUUGUAAACUGCUUUUAUACAGGAAGAAAAACUCCGACGUGUCGGAACUUGACGGUACUGUAAGAAUAAGGAUCGGCUAACUCCGUGCCAGCAGCCGCGGUAAUACGGAGGAUCCAAGCGUUAUCCGGAAUCAUUGGGUUUAAAGGGUCCGUAGGCGGUUUUUUAAGUCAGAGGUGAAAUCCUGCAGCUCAACUGUAGAAUUGCCUUUGAUACUGAAAGACUUGAGUUAUUGUGAAGUGGUUAGAAUGUGUGGUGUAGCGGUGAAAUGCAUAGAUAUCACACAGAAUACCAAUUGCGAAGGCAGAUCACUAACAAUAUACUGACGCUCAGGGACGAAAGCGUGGGUAGCGAACAGGAUUAGAUACCCUGGUAGUCCACGCCGUAAACGAUGGAUACUAGCUGUAUGUCUACUUCACGUAGAUGUGUGGCUAAGCGAAAGUGAUAAGUAUCCCACCUGGGGAGUACGAUCGCAAGAUUGAAACUCAAAGGAAUUGACGGGGCCCGCACAAGCGGUGGAGCAUGCGGUUU